GAUAAACGCUGGCGGCGUGCCUAAUACAUGCAAGUCGAGCGAACAGACGAGGAGCUUGCUCCUCUGACGUUAGCGGCGGACGGGUGAGUAACACGUGGAUAACCUACCUAUAAGACUGGGAUAACUUCGGGAAACCGGAGCUAAUACCGGAUAAUAUAUUGAACCGCAUGGUUCAAUAGUGAAAGACGGUUUUGCUGUCACUUAUAGAUGGAUCCGCGCCGCAUUAGCUAGUUGGUAAGGUAACGGCUUACCAAGGCAACGAUGCGUAGCCGACCUGAGAGGGUGAUCGGCCACACUGGAACUGAGACACGGUCCAGACUCCUACGGGAGGCAGCAGUAGGGAAUCUUCCGCAAUGGGCGAAAGCCUGACGGAGCAACGCCGCGUGAGUGAUGAAGGUCUUCGGAUCGUAAAACUCUGUUAUUAGGGAAGAACAAAUGUGCAAGUAACUAUGCACGUCUUGACGGUACCUAAUCAGAAAGCCACGGCUAACUACGUG
rnacentral:rRNA from 1 species